UAGGGGAUAUUGCACAAUGGGCGGAAGCCUGAUGCAGCAACGCCGCGUGAGUGAUGAAGGCCCUCGGGUCGUAAAACUCUUUUCAAGAGGAAGAGGAAGGACGGUACUCUUGGAAUAAGCCUCGGCUAACUACGUGCCAGCAGCCGCGGUAACACGUAGGAGGCGAGCGUUAUUCGGAUUUACUGGGCGUAAAGCGCGUGUAGGCGGCUGAUCAAGUUGGAUGUGAAAGCUCCCGGCUUAACUGGGAGAGGACGUUCAAAGCUGAACAGCUUGAGUAUGAGAGAGGAAUAUGGAAUUCCGGGUGUAGUGGUGAAAUGCGUAGAUAUCCGGAGGAACACCAGUGGCGAAGGCAAUUUUCUGGCUCAAGACUGACGCUCAGACGCGAAAGCUAGGGUAGCAAACGG
rnacentral:rRNA from 1 species